UCUUUGUAACAUUUCCCAGAUCUAAUCACUCACACAUUCCUUAAUUCUCUCCCAUUUUCUUCCAUUUCACCUUAAAGCCCUCUUUGGACCUUUGCCUUUGGCUCCUUCACCUCUUUCAUCUCGUCUCAAUUUUACCCCCUUACAAAAACACUCGAAUUUACGAAAAUGCCUUCUGCUUUCUGGUUCUUCCUUUUGAUUUUCCUCCUAUGCCUCAGCUAUGUCUCUUCGGCGGCGGAGCCGGAGCCGGUGACCUGCUCAGGGAUAGUGCCAAUGAAGUACCGUUACGAUAAGAUUUCGAUAGCGGAUUUUGGGGGCAUCGGUGAUGGUUAACACCAAGGCGUUUCGGGCGGCGAUAUAUCUAUCGGAUUCAGCAUUUGCACAGGAGAGGAGGCACGCUUCUUUACAUACCUCCUGGGGUGUACUUAACGGAGAGCUUCAAUCUCACUAGCCACAUGACUCUACUUGGCUAGAGGUGCUGUUAUCAAAGCCACACAGCAACAUUGUUGUCCGGUAUGUCACAAUAUUGGCUCCAGCUGACUCUCCCAACACCGAUGGAAUUGAUCCAGAUUCAAGCUCUAAUGUCUGCAUAGAGGACUCGUACAUAUCUACUGGAGAUGAUCUUGUGGCUGUAAAAAGU